CCUGUAUUAAGAAGCAUUACAGGUGUGUUGGCUGUGACUUAUGUGUGUCAAUAUGUCUCAGAGACAAGAGAGGCUAUGUCUAUACUCAGUGUUUUGACCUGUGAACAUCUGAAUGAUUAGGAACCUAACAUU